rnacentral:rRNA from 1 species
UCCUACGGGGCGCAGCAGUGGGGAAUAUUGCACAAUGGGGGAAACCCUGAUGCAGCGACGCCGCGUGAGUGAAGAAGUAAUUCGUUAUGUAAAGCUCUAUCAGCAGGGAAGAAAAUGACGGUACCUGAGUAAGAAGCCCCGGCUAACUACGUGCCAGCAGCCGCGGUAAUACGUAGGGGGCAAGCGUUAUCCGGAUUUACUGGGUGUAAAGGGAGCGUAGACGGUAGGGCAAGUCUGGAGUGAAAGGCGGGGGCUCAACCCCCGGACUGCUCUGGAAACUGCCAGGCUGGAGUGCAGGAGAGGUA